UCCGGUUGAUCCUGCCGGAGGCCACUGCUAUCGGGGUCCGACUAAGCCAUGCGAGUCAUGGGGCUCCCUUUUGGGAGCACCGGCGAACGGCUCAGUAACACGUGGCUAACCUACCCUCGGGUGGGGGAUAACCUCGGGAAACUGAGGCUAAUCCCCCAUAGGGGAGAAGGUCUGGAAUGAUCCCUCCCCGAAAGGCGUAAGCCGCCCGAGGAUGGGGCUGCGGCGGAUUAGGUAGUUGGUGGGAUAAUGGCCCACCAAGCCUACGAUCCGUACGGGCCCUGAGAGGGGGAGCCCGGAGAUGGGCACUGAGACAAGGGCCCAGGCCCUACGGGGCGCACCAGGCGCGAAACCUCCGCAAUGCGGGCAACCGUGACGGGGUCACCCCGAGUGCCCCCUAUAAGGGGGCUUUUCCUCGUUGUAGGAAGGCGGGGGAAUAAGCGGGGGGCAAGUCUGGUGUCAGCCGCCGCGGUAAUACCAGCCCCGCGAGUGGUCGG
rnacentral:rRNA from 1 species